UUAAAAUGAUGUUUUUACUCACGAUGGUCUUCAUAACAAAUGUGAUGAAACUGCUUAAUAGCAAUAACUGAUUACUCUGG